rnacentral:tRNA from 1 species
GUUGCUACUCAACGGUAGAGUACUCGGCUUUUAAGUGCG